rnacentral:rRNA from 1 species
GUGAGGAAUAUUGGUCAAUGGGCGCGAGCCUGAACCAGCCAAGUAGCGUGGAGGACGACGGCCCUACGGGUUGUAAACUCCUUUUGCGCGGGGAUAAAGUGCGCGACGUGCUCGCGCAUUGCAGGUACCGCGCGAACAAGGACCGGCCAAUUCCGUGCCAGCAGCCGCGGUAAUACGGAAGGUCCGGGUGUUAUCCGGAUUUAUUGGGUUUAAAGGGAGCGCAGACUGCCUGUCAAGCGUGCAGUGAAACGCCGCGGCCCAACCGCGGCCCUGCUGCGCGAACUGGCGGGCUUGAGUGGGCUGGAGGCACGCGGAAUUCGUGGUGUAGCGGUGAAAUGCUCAGAUAUCACGAGGAACCCCGAUUGCGAAGGCAGCGUGCCGCGUCCCUACUGACGUUGAGGCUCGAAGGUGCGGGUAUCGAACAGGA